UUUAAUACAAAGCAAUGUAUAAAUCACAAGUGAAUAGUAAAUUCUUGUCAUAUUUCUACAGUGUGAAUACUGGCAGAUUACGUAAAUUUGGUCAAGGUCACUAAGACGGUCGAUAGGGAGGACUGAAGCCGCAGCCCUUGAAGCCGGAGUUACAUGGGGAGAACACAUUUUUCUGCAAUUCAGAUGUAAUGUGGCAAUGAAAAAUGUUUUUCCAUGAAGCAACACAGUGGCAGAGAGCAGUCGAACGGUUUCAUCAGGACAUUUCUGAAGUCGAGUCCCAGUAUGCUUGCUGACUACUGCUGGACCCUUAAGAGGGAUGGAUAUUCCUGAGGAAGUACUGCAGAAAUUGUACGCUUCUACUUUUUAGUUCUCCUUAUUCUGUGGGCAGCAGUCUCAGUGGGCAUUACCAGCCCCCUUUUGUCCUCCCUGCAGAUUCCAGCCACUGCGGGGGAUUUUCAAGCAUUCCUAGGCAGGAAUUUGUCCAAGGUGUCCUUGGUCAGCCUCGACGUCUCACUUCAGUGGGUGGCUCUCCAGCAGAAAAUUAUAGCACCGGAAGGGCAACAUUGCAUAAGUUCCCAAAGCCCACUUGAACUGUCUCCGCUUACUUGGGAGAAGCGGCUGUUCCUCAAGCUAACUGAAAUUUUCAGGCUUCCCUGGAGAAUAAAACAGGAAAGAAAACUCAUUUUU